GUGGUUGUGGCUCAGUGGUAUAGUGCUCACCUUGCAUAUGUGAGACACUGGGUUCGAUCCUCAGAACCACA
rfam:Ictidomys tridecemlineatus contig133990, whole genome shotgun sequence.